GCGAUCAUACCAGCACUAAUGCACCGGAUCCCAUCAGAACUCCGAAGUUAAGCGUGCUUGGACGAGAGCAGUACUAGGAUGGGUGACCCCCUGGGAAGUCCUCGUGUUGCACCU
rnacentral:rRNA from 1 species